rnacentral:pre_miRNA from 1 species
CAAAUACUCCCUCCGUCCUGUAUUAAAUGUCGCAACUUUGUCUAGAUACGCAUGUAUCUAGACAUGUUUUAGUGUGUGGGCACAUGUAGACAAAGUUGUGACAGUUAAUAUGGUACGGAGGGAGUAUUUA